AACCUGACCAUUGACCCGCGUGAGGGAUAAGGCUUCGGGUUGUAAACUCUUUCAGCAGGGAAUAAGCGAAGUGAAGGUACUGCAGAAGAAGCACCGGCUAACUAUGUGCCAGCAGCCGCGGUAAUACAUAGGGUGCAAGCGUUGUCCGGAAUUAUUGGGCGUAAAGAGCUCGUAGGUGGUCGAUCACGUCGGAUGUGAAAAUCUGAGGCUUAACCUCAGACCUGCAUUCGAUACGGGUUGACUAGAGUGUGGUAGGGGAGACUGGAAUUCCUGGUGUAGCGGUGGAAUGCGCAGAUAUCAGGAGGAACACCGAUGGCGAAGGCAGGUCUCUGGGCCAUUACUGACACUGAGGAGCGAAAGUGUGGGGAGCGAACAGGAUUAGAUACCCUGGUAGUCCACACCGUAAACGGUGGGCGCUAGUUGUGGGAAAC
rnacentral:rRNA from 1 species